rnacentral:rRNA from 1 species
GUGUGCUUCACACAUGCAAGUCGAACGGGGAUAGCAAUACCUAGUGGCGGACGGGUGAGUAACGCGUGGGAAUCUGCCUUGAAAUGGGGGAUAGCAAGCCGAAAGGCUUAUUAAUACCGCAUAUGAUUACAUCAAGACAUUUUUGUAAUUGAAAGGAGCAAUCCGUUUCAAGAUGAGCCCGCGUCCGAUUAGCUAGCUGGUAAGGUAACGGCUUACCAAGGCGACGAUCGGUAGGUGGUCUGAGAGGAUGAUCACCCACAAUGGGACUGAGACACGGCCCAUACUCCUACGGGAGGCAGCAGUGGGGAAUUUUGUGCAAUGGGCGAAAGCCUGACACAGCGACACCGCGUGAACGAAGAAGCUCUUUGGAGUGUAAAGUUCUGUCGGCUGGAACGAAAACAAUGACGGUACCAGCAAAGGAAGCAUCGGCUAACUACGUGCCAGCAGCCGCGGUAAGACGUAGGAUGCAAGCGUUGUCCGGAUUUAUUGGGCGUAAAGAGUUCGUAGGCGGUUUACUAAGUCUGAUGUUAAAGAUCGGGGCUCAACCCCGAGAGUGCAUUGGAUACUGGUAGGCUUGAGUGUGGUAGAGGCUAGUGGAAUUCCCAGUGUAGCGGUGAAAUGCGUAGAUAUUGGGAAGAACACCAGUGGCGUAGGCGACUAGCUGGGCCAUAACUGACGCUGAGGAACGAAAGCCAGGGGAGCGAAUGGGAUUAGAUACCCCAGUAGUCCUGGCCGUAAACGAUGGAUACUAGGCGUAGUGGGUAUCGACCCCUACUGUGCCGCAGCUAACGCGAUAAGUAUCCCGCCUGAGUAGUACGGCCGCAAGGUUUG